GCCGGGGCCCCGGUGGCCCACUGUGUACGGGUGAGGGCGGGGCUCGGCGCGGCCUUGACAACGGGCCGGGCGCCUCGGCCGGAGGCUCGGAGACUACAGUUCCCAGCGGGCUCCGCGCGGCCUGGGCGGGGAGAAGCGCCUCGGCCCAGUGCGCAGGCGCGAGAGCUCCUCGGGUUUAUAAGGGAGGU
rfam:Tupaia chinensis contig11377, whole genome shotgun sequence.